rnacentral:rRNA from 1 species
UACGUAUGGAGCAAGCGUUAUCCGGAUUUACUGGGUGUAAAGGGAGCGUAGGCGGCAUACCAAGCCUGAUGUGAAAACCCGGGGCCCAACCCCGGGAGUGCAUUGGGAACUGGCAAGCUAGAGUGUCGGAGAGGCAGGCGGAAUUCCUAGUGUAGCGGUGAAAUGCGUAGAUAUUAGGAGGAACAUCAGUGGCGAAGGCGACUUUCUGGACUGUAACUGACGCUGAGGCACGAAAGUGUGGGGAGCAAACAGG